rnacentral:rRNA from 1 species
AUUGAACGCUGGCGGCAUGCUUUACACAUGCAAGUCGAACGGCAGCGCGGGCUUCGGCCUGGCGGCGAGUGGCGAACGGGUGAGUAAUGCAUCGGAACGUGCCCAGUAGUGGGGGAUAGCCCGGCGAAAGCCGGAUUAAUACCGCAUACGACCUGAGGGUGAAAGCGGGGGACCGAAAGGCCUCGCGCUAUUGGAGCGGCCGAUGUCGGAUUAGCUAGUUGGUGGGGUAAAGGCUUACCAAGGCGACGAUCCGUAGCUGGUCUGAGAGGACGACCAGCCACAUUGGGACUGAAGAACGGCCCAGCCCCCGAGGGGGGGCAGAGGGGGGGAAUUUUGGAAAAGGGGGGAAACCCUGACCCGCCCAUGCCGGGGGGGGAAAGAAGGCCUUCGGGUUGAAAACCGUUUUUGUUGGGGAAAAAAUCCUCUGGGCUAAACCCCCGGGGGGAUGACGGUACCGGAAAAAAAAGCACCGGCUAACUACUG